rnacentral:piRNA from 1 species
UGCUCUUGGUUCAAAUCCCAUGAGGAGC